rnacentral:misc_RNA from 1 species
GAUGAAGAACGUAGCGAAAUGCGAUACGUAAUGUGAAUUGCAAAUUCAGUGAAUCAUCGAGUCUUUGAACGCACAUUGCGCCCCCUGGUAUUCCGGGGGGCAUGCCUGUCCGAGCGUCAUUGCUGCCCUCAAGCACGGCUUAUGUGUUGGGCCCCGUCCUCCGAUCCCGGGGGACGGGCCCGAAAGGCAGCGGCGGCACCGCGUCCGGUCCUCGAGCGUAUGGGGCUUUGUCACCCGCUCUGUAGGCCCNNCCGGCGCUUGCCGAUCAACCCAAAUUUUUAUCCAGGUUGACCUCGGAUCAGGUAGGGAUACCCGCUGAACUUAAGCAUAUCAAUAAGCGGAGGA